CGUGUAGGCGGUCGGGCAAGUCAGAUGUGAAAGCCUUCCGCUCAACGGAAGAAGUGCAUUUGAAACUACCCGGCUGGAGUACGGGAGAGGAGAGUGGAAUUCCCGGUGUAGAGGUGAAAUUCGUAGAUAUCGGGAGGAACACCGGUGGCGAAGGCGGCUCUCUGGUCCGAUACUGACGCUGAGACGCGAAAGCGUGGGGAGCAAACAGGAUUAGAUACCCUGGUAGUCCACGCCGUAAACGAUGGGCACUAGGUGUAGGAGGUAUUGACCCCUUCUGUGCCGAAGCUAACGCAUUAAGUGCCCCGCCUGGGGAGUACGGCCGCAAGGCUAAA
rnacentral:rRNA from 1 species